AUAGUUGCUCCAUAGAAAAUCCUCCACAGUACUGAAAUGAGGCUGCCUCACCAUUGGGGAUAGUGAAAAGGACAAUUUCCUUUGAACACACUCAUUUUCUGAUUGAAGAGAAUACAGAGAAUGUGGAUUUUCCUGGUGCCAAGUUGUUCUUCCAUUCCUCGGCCAAGUUUCCAUUCUGAUUAACUCAAGUCUCACCUCAUAGCCUAUUCAUUACCGCUGAAAGUGAUUCAGAUUGUCAAGGCCCAUCUUCUAUACAGCGCUUCCCAAAGUGACGUCGGUAGACCAGUACCAGUAAGAAAACUGUUUCUAGUCUGAUAAGUUUACUGAUUAUCAAAGAAGGACUGUGACUAAACUAGAAGGAGAAUUAACACUAUCCAGAGAUGGCUACAGUUCUGAAGGGAAACUUUGAGUCUCCACCUUUCCAAGAGUGGGGCACAGAUGUCGGAGCCAGACUGCCUGGACUCAAAUCUCAGAACCUGCAUUUAUUAGCUGUGUGACUUUGGAUAAUCCUCUCUCCACAACUUGAUAAUGCACAAACUGCAAAUCUUCUGGUACUCACUGCUGCAAGCAAACUUGAAGUCUUUCUGAGCCUGACUCUUCAUUCCUGCCUUGUGUGACCCAGGGAUGGAGGACUGCCCUCCCAACUCAUUAUCCUCUUUGCCCAGGAGCUGGCUUGUGUGGAAGAAUUAAAUGCAA
rnacentral:lncRNA from 10 species